AGUGUUUGAUCAUGGCUCAGGAUGAACGCUAGCGGGAGGCCUAACACAUGCAAGUAGAACGGGAAUGGUAGCAAUACCAUGAGAGUGGCGCACGGGUGAGUAACGCGUAUGCAACCUGCCUUUAACAGGGGGAUAGCCCGUUGAAAGACGGAUUAAUACCCCAUAGUAUUUAGUUUCUGCAUGGGAAUUAAAUUAAAGCUCCGGCGGUUAAAGAUGGGCAUGCGUGACAUUAGCUAGUUGGUGAGGUAACGGCUCACCAAGGCGACGAUGUCUAGGGGUUCUGAGAGGAUGAUGCCCCACACUGGUACUGAGACACGGACCAGACUCCUACGGGAGGCAGCAGUGAGGAAUAUUGGUCAAUGGCCGCAAGGCUCCGGUGCCAUCCCGCGUGAAGGAAGACUGCCCUAUGGGUUGUAAGCUUCUUAACUGCACCAAGAAAAAGAUCCUCGAGAGGGUCCUUGCCGGUAGUGCAGGAAUAAGCAUCGGCUAACUCCGUGCCAGCAGCCGCGGUAAUACGGAGGAUGCAAGCGUUAUCCGGAUUCAUCGGGUCUAAAGGGUGCGUAGGCGGCUUUUUAAGUCAGUGGUGAAAUCCUGCCGCUUAACGGUAGAAUUGCCAUUGAUACUGAAGGGCUUGAGUGCAGUUGAGGUAGGCCGAAUGUGUAGUGUAGCGGUGAAAUGCUUAGAUAUUGCUGAAACACCGAUUGCGAAGGCAGCUUACUAAGCUGCAACUGACGCUGAUGCACGAAAGCGUGGGGAUCAAACAGGAUUAGAUACCCUGGUAGUCCACGCUGUAAACGAUGCUCACUCGCUGUUUGCGAUAUACCGUAAGCGGCCAAUCGAAAGAAUUAAGUGAGCCACCUGGGGAGUGACGAUCGCAAGGUUGAAACUCAAAAUUGACGCAUGCCCGCACAAGCGGAGCUAUGAUGUGGUUUAAUUCGAUGAUACGCGAGGAACCAGACCUGGGCUUAAAUGGGGAGUGACAGCUGCCGAAAGGUGAGUAUCAUUCGGACACUCUCGCAAGGUGCUGCAUGGUUGUCGUCAGCUCGUGCCGUGAGGUGUCGGGUUAAGUCCCAUAACGAGCGCAACCCUUAUCGUUAGUUGCCAGCGGGUCAAGCCGGGGACUCUAGCGAGACUGCCACCGUAAGGUGAGACUAAGGUGGGGAUGACGUCAAAUCAGCACGGCAGUUAUGUCCAGGGCUACACACGUGUUACAAUGGCCGGUACAAAGGGCAGCUACCUGGUGACAGGAUGCUAAUCUCGAAAGCCGGUCUCAGUUCGGAUCGAAGUCUGCAACCCGACUUCGUGAAGCUGGAUUCGCUAGUAAUCGCGCAUCAGCCAUGGCGCGGUGAAUACGUUCCCGGGCCUUGUACACACCGCCCGUCAAACAAUGGAAGCCGCCGGUACCUGAAGUAUGUAACCGCAAGGAGCGUCCUAGGGUAAAACCGGUAACUGGUGUUAAGUCGUAACAAGGUAACC
rnacentral:rRNA from 1 species